GAUGAACGCUAGCUACAGGCUUAACACAUGCAAGUCGAGGGGUAACGAGAGGGAAGCUUGCUUUCCUUGUCGACGACCGGCGCACGGGUGAGUAACGCGUAUCCAACCUGCCCCCAACUAGGGAAUAACCUUGCGAAAGUAAGACUAAUACCCUAUAAUUUCCUCAGAUGUCAUCUGACGAGGAAUAAAGAUUUAUCGGUUGUGGAUGGGGAUGCGUCUGAUUAGCUUGUUGGCGGGGUAACGGCCCACCAAGGCAACGAUCAGUAGGGGUUCUGAGAGGAAGGUCCCCCACAUUGGAACUGAGACACGGUCCAAACUCCUACGGGAGGCAGCAGUGAGGAAUAUUGGUCAAUGGGCGGAAGCCUGCACCAGCCAAGUAGCGUGCAGGAUGACGGCCCUAUGGGUUGUGUCCUGCUUUUAUACAGGCAUCCCUUUCCCCCCGUGUGGUUAUUUGUAGGUACUGUAUGAAUAAGGACCGGCUAAUUCCGUGCCAGCAGCCGCCGUAA
rnacentral:rRNA from 1 species